AGUUAACUUCUACCACUGCCCUGGCUUCAAGCUUAAUAGGAAAUAAAGCUUUGUAUGUUUUUUUCUUUUUCCCUACUGUGUUAUCUCCAAGCAUGGGCUGGGCUCAAACAAAUAAAGGAAUUAGCUCCUAGGUCCUCAACUGAUACAAAUUGUUGUCAGGGAUCUGUUAAAGUUAAUGAAACUAUGACAAUUCAGAGCAAUCAGACCAGGUGCUCACCAGGUUCCAGGUGCUCAUGACCAAGGGUAGAUUAAGAGGCUACAGAAUAGCUCACUCAGGAAGAGUUGUGGUGGUUGUUUUGUUGGGAGCAGUUUUGUGUAGCUUCUAGGUGAGACAUUUUGAGGAAAGCAGCUUUUUUUGAGGCAUUGGACCAAAGAGUUGGGAGCUGUUUAAAAUAGGGCAGGAUGUUUGUAAGCAAGUGGCAGAAGUCCAUCCAAGGAAGAAUGUUGCUGGCUGGCUUUGAAGACAGGACUGUGUCUAGACAGAGCAUUUGUCUUUCUGAGGAGGCAGCCCCCACAGGUGCACUGACCUGAGGGGAUAAGGCAAAAAUGGGUGCAAUUCUAUGAAUGCUGCCUGUGUGGUUUUGGACAAUACAGGUCAUUCUUCUGUGCCUCUGCUCAUCUGCUUUCAAAUAAGAAAAUGUCAUCCUUCUUCCCACACCUUUUCAGCUGAAACAUUGACCCCAAGAGGGAUCGGCUCUUGCUAUGGGUUGGUACAAUUUGGCAAAAGAGGUACCACAGAGCAAGACACAUCUGAAAUCUCAGGAGCUGGGGAGAUGCUGUCAGAUAUAAUUUGUAUCUGCUUUUUCAUGUCUGGAAAUAAAAUAAGUUAUAGAUGAAAAAGAUGAGUUAGAGAGCAAAAGGAAAUCUGGAUAAGUGAAUGUUUCCUAGUCAUGUGCAUAUGAAAGCCAGAAAUAUAAGAUAACACAUAAGAAGGAAUAGAAAAAAAGCCCCCCUAUCCCAGGAAAUGUAUGCCUGAGAAUCUGAAAUGCAGAUACUGCUUCAGAAAGGGAAGAUUUGUGUCUGUAUAUACUAAGAAAUCUUAUGAAUGAAAAUGUUGUUCUUCUGGAUUUAUGAUACUAGCACUAUUUAAUGGCAGGCAACAAGUUCUUUGAAAGAAGAGCUGAUGGUCUGGUUCCUGUGAUGCUAUAAAUAUACAUCCCUAUCCCCACCAUAUCCACUCCCCUGAAAAAAUGCAGUCAGAGAGAAAGAGCUAGAAAAGAGUAUGGUCACCAAUUACUCUUCCAGCUUUUACUUUCCUGGCCAGGCCACUACUGCUCUACCUCUCUCCACUCCAGGAUACUAGUGAUUGCUCAGUCUGCCUCAGACGGCUGCAAAGUUAUCAUUCAGUACCUGUGAUAGGGCAAUUCAUUUGCAGCUGCUGCUGUCCCAGUCUUUCAUCCCUCUUUGCUGCUUACACCAAAUAGUUUAGAAAUAAGAAUAACCCCUCCAGGAAUGUGAAGCAGCCAGAGGGAAUGUGUGUGUGUGUGUGUUUAGUUGCCCAGGUCUGUGCAGGCUUCCCUGUACAAGGCAUAAUGCCUG